UAUCCUGCCCAUGCGGGAAGGAUGAGAAGCUUCGACCAAGGUUCGAUUCGAGCGUAGCGAGAAAGCGUUGCCGCAGGCAACGACCCGAAGGGCGAAGCGUAUCGCGCUGAGUCAUCCUUCCCCCACCACCU
rnacentral:sRNA from 1 species